CCGAUGGAGGGGGAUAACUACUGGAAACGGUAGCUAAUACCGCAUAACGUCGCAAGACCAAAGAGGGGACCUUCGGGCCUCUUGCCAUCGGAUGUGCCCAGAUGGGAUAGCUAGUAGGUGGGGUAACGGCUCACCUAGGCGACGAUCCCUAGCUGGUCUGAGAGGAUGACCAGCCACACUGGAACUGAGACACGGUCCAG
rnacentral:rRNA from 1 species